CCUUCGAUAGCUCAGUUGGAAGAGCGCAAGACUGUAAUCGGUUGCAUAUCUUGAUGUCGCUGGUUCGAUCCCGGCUCGAAGGA
rnacentral:tRNA from 2 species